rnacentral:rRNA from 1 species
AUCUCAAAUCACGUAGGACUACCCGCUGAACUUAA